UACGUAGGGUGCGAGCGUUGUCCGGAAUUAUUGGGCGUAAAGGGCUCGUAGGCGGUUUGUCGCGUCGGGAGUGAAAACCAGGUGCUUAACACCUGGCUUGCUUUCGAUACGGGCAGACUAGAGGUAUGCAGGGGAGAACGGAAUUCCGUGGUGUAGCGGUGAAAUGCGCAGAUAUCAGGAGGAACACCUGCGGCGAAGGCGGGUUGCUGGGCUGACACUGACGCUGAGGAGCGAAAGCGUGGGGAGCGAACAGG
rnacentral:rRNA from 1 species